rnacentral:rRNA from 1 species
AACGAACGCUGGCGGCAUGCCUAACACAUGCAAGUCGAACGAGACCUUCGGGUCUAGUGGCGCACGGGUGCGUAACGCGUGGGAACCUGCCCUUAGGUUCGGAAUAACUCCCCGAAAGGGGUGCUAAUACCGGAUAAUGUCUUCGGACCAAAGAUUUAUCGCCUUUGGAUGGGCCCGCGUUGGAUUAGCUAGUUGGUAGGGUAAAAGCCUACCAAGGCGACGAUCCAUAGCUGGUCUGAGAGGAUGAUCAGCCACACUGGGACUGAGACACGGCCCAGACUCCUACGGGAGGCAGCAGUGGGGAAUAUUGGACAAUGGGCGAAAGGCUGAUCCAGCAAUGCCGCGUGAGUGAUGAAGGCCUUAGGGUUGUAAAGCUCUUUUACACGGGAUGAUAAUGACAGUACCGGGAGAAUAAGCGCCGGCUAACUCCGUG